UGAGGAAUAUUGGGCAAUGCCCGCAAGGGUGACCCAGCAACGCCGCGUGGAGGAUGAAUGUCGUAAGAUUGUAAACUCCUGUUAGAGGGGAAGAAUAGUACCGGUUGGACCGGUAUAUGACUGUACCCUCAGAGAAAGCCCCGGCUAACUACGUGCCAGCAGCCGCGGUAAUACGUAGGGGGCAAGCGUUGUCCGGAUUCACUGGGUGUAAAGGGCGCGCAGGCGGGAUAAAAAGUCGGUGGUGAAAUCCUACAGCUUAACUGUAGAACUGCCUUUGAUACUUUUAUUCUUGAGUUCGGGAGAGAGAGACGAAAUUCCAGGUGUAGUGGUGAAAUACGUAGAUAUCUGGAAGAACACCAGUUGCGAAGGCGGUCUCUUGGUCCGACACUGACGCUGAGGCGCGAAAGCGUGGGGAGCAAACA
rnacentral:rRNA from 1 species